rnacentral:rRNA from 1 species
CACGUAGGCACCAAGCGUUGUCCGGAUUUAUUGGGCGUAAAGAGCUCGUAGGCGGUUCAGUAAGUCGGGUGUGAAAACUUUGGGCUUAACCCAAAGCGUGCAUCCGAUACUGCUGUGACUUGAGUACGGUAGGGGAGCGGGGAAUUCCUAGUGUAGCGGUGAAAUGCGCAGAUAUUGGGAGGAACACCAGUGGCGAAGGCGGCUCACUGGACCGGUACUGACGCUGAUGCGCGAAAGCGUGGGGAGCAAACGGG